GAUAAAAUUUGCAUAUGUUUAGGUUGUACAAUGUGGUUUUUUAAAGGUGUGCAACAUGAUUUAAUAUACAUUGUGAAACGAUUAUCACAAUCACGUUAGUUAACACAUCCAUCACCUCACAUAGUUACUUUUCCAAUGGAUUUUUGAGAUUUUCUAUAUAUAAGAUCAUGUCGUCUGCACACAGCAAGAGUUUCACUUCUUCACUCCCUAUUGGAUUCCUUUUAUUCCUUUCUCUUGCUUAAUUGCUCUGGCUAAAACCUCCAGUACUAUGUUGAAUAAGAGUGGUGAUAGUGGGCAUCCUUGUCUCAUUCCUGUUCUCAGGGAGAUGGUGCUCAGUUUUUGCCCAUUGAAUAUGAUGUUGGCUGUGGGUUUGUCAUAUAUGGCCUUUAUUAUGUUGAGGUAAUUUCCUUCUAUCCCCAUUUUGUUCAGAGUUUUUAUCGUAAAUGGCUGUUGGAUCUUGUCAAAUGCUUUCUCUGCAUCUAUUGAGAUGAUCAUCACAUAGUUUUUAUGUGUAUAGUGAGAACACUUAAAAUUUUAGCAAAUUUCAAGUAUAUAAUACAGUAUUACUAGCAAUAAUCACCACACUGUCCAUUAGAUUGGGGACCUUUUUAAAAUCCUAUGCCCUAGACCGUUAAAUCAGAAUCUCUGAGAGGGGGGCCCAGGCUUCAGUAACAGCACAGGUAAUUACAACAUGCAGCCAAGUUUGAGAACCACUGUUUUAGAUGAUGUAUCACCCUACUCUUCCUCAGUGGGAUUGCUUGUGAUUGUGUUUUCCCCAUACUCCUUCCUGCAAUUGAGGUUGAUUAAAAGGAAUUAGGUAUUGAGUGUUUGGGAAGUAAAUAAUGGUGUUAUUUGGGAAGAUUGGGUAGGUACAGGGGAAGAAUCUUGUGUGACUAAAAUGUUGUAGGUCCUAGGGAGAUGGUGGCAGUAGCAACUUAGUGUUUGAAUUUCCAUGAAUCGCCACACAAAAAUGAGCAGGAAAACUAGAUAGCAAAACGAAAAACCCACAUACAAUUUUUCCAGCAAAACUAAGUGACAAGGUGCUGCAGCCAAAAUGUGUGCAUAUUUGCAUCUCUACAGGAGGAGGCAAAGGGAGGCAAAAGUUGUCUUAAUAGACCUGAGAACAGGACAACUCCAAAAUAGCCAGCAGAUCUCUGGAAAGCACAGAAGAUCAAUUGGAGAUUAGCAUGUGAAACUGGAAGGGGUUUUGCACAAUUCACAGGGAGUGAGUGCAAGGCACAUUCAGAUCUGAAGCAGUCUAACCCCUAUGAACUCUUGAAACUGACUGGUCAUAGCUCCCUUCCAAAAUAGGGCAACAACACACUGCUUGGAGAUGUAUCAAAAUUGAGCAGGAUACAAAGGCUCUGAUGUCAAGACUGUCAAAUUUUGAUUCCUGACUCCACUAAUGACUAAUUUGUGCCUUUGGACAAAUUUCUUAACUGCUCUGUACCCCAGUUUCUCAUCUGUAUAAUGGGGAUAAUAAUAUCUACUUUAUGGGAUUAUUGUGAAAUGAGGUAAUGCACAUGGUGAUGCAUGUGAUCAUGAUCUAUCAGUUUCUUAACAUCAUUAUGAGAAGAAAAAAAGAAAACCAAGAGGGGACAAUAAAGACAAAGGAAAGAGAGGGUGCAGAUAAAAGUGGGGAAGUUUAGCAAAGUCAGAAAACAUCAGAAAGCAAACUGACAUAUUUUUUAAGUUAUAAAAAAACAGAAAAAAGAGAACUUUGUGAAGUUAGAAAAGCUAUUCUGAACCAUGCUUCCUAAAUACUUAGGAGAACUAAUUUUAUAGAAAUAUAAGCAACAGAAAAAUACCAUGAUCAAAUCCCAUAUAAACUGAUUAUGAGGGAGACAGAGUGGGAGAGAGAUUAAGGAGUGGAAUAGUACAGAAAAUAAAAGCACACUAGUAUAACAUGCUUACAAAAUAGAUCAAAACUAUUAACCUACUGUUUCAAAACAGGCUAAAUGAAAUUAAAGAAAUAAUUCAGGAUGCAAAAGAACAACAUAAAUUAGAGCUAUAUAAACUCAGAAAUGAAGUGACAAAACUUAGGGAAGAAACAAAUUUUUAAAAAGUUUCAGAACUGAAGACUAAACAGAAGACACAAGUGUGAAUAAACACAAAAAUAAUGCCUUAAACAGAGGGUGAAAAUGAGGAUAUUUUAAGAAUAAAGAAAGGAAAUGGUGGUAAAUAUUGAAGAGAAAGUGCCAUAUAUUGAAGAUAGGGAAAGAAGGUCCAACCUACGGAUUGUAAGAGCUCCUAAAGAAGAAAGUAAAGCACAGGACCAAAACAAAUACCAAACAUGACAAUUCAAGGAAACAUUCCUGAAAGUACAAUUUUUAAAAAUGAUUUGAAACUAGGAGUACACUGUGUACCUGGGGAUAUGAGUUGACAAACACCAAGACAAAACAUUCUAGUAGAUUACGAAACCAUUCUAAAAACAGAAAAAAUCCCUUGGCCAUCUAAGAAAAAAGACCAAGUGACUUACAAGGAAAAGAAUUUAGAUUAUUAUCAGACUUGUUGACAUAUGCUUUAUGCCAGAAGAAAAUAGAAUAAUAUAUUUGAGAUACUCAAGGAAAGAAGGUGUGGACCAAAGAUUUUAUGCUCAGUAAAAGUGAUCUUCAAGUAUGAAGAGCACAAACUGCUAUCAACAUAUGAGUAGUCAAGGAGUAUUGUUGCUGUGGGCCCUUCUGAGGAAUUUCCUAGAGAAUGAGAUUCAUAAGGACUGGUUGUAAGCAUUAAAUGUAUGGUUAUUUGUAGAGCUAGGAAUAAAUAAGGAUUACAACAGAGGAAGUAAAGUAUGUAAUGGCCGUAUGCACUGACAGUGUGGAUAUAGUACAACUGAAAAAAAGGGAAAUGGAUAAUGCAUAUGCAAAAUUUAAAAAUAUUUUUAGUAAUGAUAUCAUUAGUGGUAUCUGAGACUGUAUGUAAUGUGGGAUAAAACAAAUGAGUAAUUAUGGGAUAUUUCAGUUUUAUCAUAAUCUGUAUCCUUGAGACCAGGAUUCUCGGAGUGGAAGAAAGCAAAUACAGAUAUAAAAUAGAAGCGGGUGAGUAAACUUGUAGUUCUCAUUUUGUAUUAAGGACAUACACACAGACACAUACCUCCUCUGCUCAGAUUAUGGUCCUGAAAUACUAUAACACAAUUUCCCAGUGAAAGAAACUAAGCCUUCUUGGAGAAAUAGUUGAUUCUAGGUCUGGUGCAGAAAUUAUACAAGAUGAACCUGGAAUGUCUUUUAUACCAGGUAGCAAAGAAUCUUUAAAGACAAUUAGUCAUAACAAAGAACACAGUGGCUAACUUGAAGAGGCUCCCACUGGCCAAAAAUAAGAUAAUUUGAGCUUCAGUAUAGGUAUGCAUUGAAAUCCAAAUAUGAUUAAAUCCUUCAGUUCUUAAUGUUUACCUUUGGAGGAUUAUAGGGAGUAAAUUCAUUUUCUUGAAAACUAGCAAAUAAAGGGAUUAAACCACUAGAGAGCAAAAGAAUAGAUGAAGAGAGGCAUCUCUUACUAAAGUAUUCCUGCUAAUAAGUGAAAAAACAAAUGAUAGAAUAUCUACACUUUGCAAUCUUCAAUGAAUUAAUGGAUCUAGGCAUUGAAUACCAUGUACUACUAAUAUCACAAAGGCAACCAGAUGUUUUUUCCUCUUUAUGAAAGAAUACAAAUCACCUAUGGUUUUAACCAAAGUGAUAAAAUAAUCUUGAGUUUGUUCAAGUCUCUGGAUUGAGUUGCCAACUUGCAACUCAAAAUACAAAGGUCAGAGAAAAAAGUUAAACUGCACUACAAGUUGGAAUCAGCAAAAUCCAUAUUGUGGAAAAGCCUAGAGGCCGAAUGUCCUGGAUAAGAAAAAGAAAAGGAUAAAGGGAAAUCUUCAGAUUAAAAGGACAUAGGAGGUUUCUUAAAAAGGGGCAAGACUAACAAAAUGAAAAGACAACCCACCAACCGGAAGAAAAUAUUUGCAAUCAUAUAUCCGACAAGGGGUUAAUUUCCAAAAUAUAUAAAGAACUCAUACAACUCAACAGAAACAAAACAAACAACUGGAUCAAAAAAUGGGCUGAGGAUAUGAGCAUUUUUCCAAAGAAGAUAUGCAGAUGGCCAACAGGCACAUUAAAAGAUGUUCAACAUCACUAAUUAUUAGGGAAAUGGAAAUGAAAACUACAAUGAGAUAUCACCUUACACCUGUCAGAAUGGCUAUAAUUACCAAGACAAAAAAAUAAUAAACGUUGGAGAGAUUGUGGAGAAAAGGGAACCCUCAUUUACUGCUGGUGGGAAUGCAAACUGGUGCAGUCAUUAUGGAAAACGGUAUGGAGAUUUCUCAAAAAAUUAAAUAGAAAUACCAUACGAUCCAGCUAUCUCACUGGCUGUUUAUCCCAAGAACUUGAAAUCAACAAUUCGAAGAGAUUUAUGCACCCCUAUGUUUUUUGGAGCAUUGUUCACAAUAGCCAAGAUAUGGAAGCAACCCAAGUGCCUUUCAACUGUGAAUGGAUAAAGAAGAUGUGGUGUGUGUGUGUAUAUAUAUAUAUAUAUAUACACACAAUGGAAUACUACUCAGCCAUAAAAAAAAAACAAAAGUGUCCCAUUUGCAACAACAUGGAUAGACCUCAAGGGUAUGAUGUUAAGCAAAGUAAGCCAGGCAGAGAAAGACAAACACCAUAUGAUUUCACUCAUAUGUGGAAGAGAAACAAACACAUGGAUAAAGAGAACAGAUCAGUGUUUACCAGAGGGGAAGGAGGUUGAGGGAGUGGUCGAAAGGGGUAAAGGGGCACAUAUGUAUGGUGACGGAUAAAAAUUAGACUAUUGAUGGUGAGCACGAAGCAAUCUAUACAGAAACUGAUAAAUAAUAAAGUGCACCUGAAAUUACACAAUGUUACGAACCAUUAUGACCUCAAUAAAAUAACUUGGAAAAAAAUGGACAAGACUAAACUAUGUUGUCUAGGGAUGCACAGUGGGUAUUAAAACUAAAACUAAAAGAAAUGCAAGGAAAUGAUUGUAAUAAAUGCCAGAAUAGUGUUACUUUUUGGGGCAGGGAGGAGAUUGUGAUUAGAAUUGGGCAUACUGAGGGCCUUUUUGGGUGGCUGGCAAAGUAUUUCCUGACCUGAGUGCUAUUACAACAGUUUCCCUCUUAUUAAUAAUUUAUUGUUAUCCAUUGCUAUAGUUGGUUUUCUGUAUCUAUAUUUUAUUUUACAGUUGAAAAAAAAGGCUUUUCUAAUCAUUGAGAGGCACCUAGUGAUGAAAUUUGAGCCAUUUCCUAUAAUGAUGAUUGUUUUCAGCCCAUGUUAUUGCUUAUUAUUAAUCUAUAUUUUAUCUUCCUUGGAGAAUAUGGGGUCAGCAAAACUACCACUACCUGUGCAGAAAGAAACACAUCAGUUACUCAGCUGUAAUUUCUCCUUUUUCCAAAGAGUUUUCAAAUUGAACCAUCCACAAGAUCUGAUACUUCUUUGUUCAGCACAUUCAUUCCCCUUUUCCUUUCUCCUUCUGUUCUUGUUGGUAUGGCCAAUGGAAUGUUAGCAAAUGUAAUAUGAGCAGAGGUCUUAAAUGUGUGUGUGGUUUGGCUUGACUCUUGUUUAAUUAUGAUUUGUCACGUGGAGAGAAUGCACCAGUAGCUGCUGCUCCUUCGGGGGCACGCCCUUGCUCCUUGCUCAUCAGGUGGCUGGCUGAAGAGACUCCAGUGAAAAGUCUCCAGAAAGGAGACAGUGGAGCUACUGACUGGAAGAAGGCUCGAGUCCCUGAAUGAAGCAGCGUUCUUUUCCCUAUCAGAGUCCCUGGAUUGUGACCUGAAUUAAAAAUGUCUUGGAUUGUGUUAAGCCCCUGAGAUUUUUGGGUUUAUUACAACACCUAGCAUUACCCUGACUGAUGCACCUGCUCAGACCCACUAUGUUAGCCACUAGCCACAUGUGGUAAGUGAGCACUUGCAUUGUGGCUAGUCAGAAUUGAGAUGUGUUCUAAGUAUAAAGUAAACAUUGGAUUUCAAAGAUUUAGUACAAAAAGUGUCAAAUAUUAAUAUUUUUAUAUUAAUGAUUAUUUUGGAUAUAUGAG
ensembl:lncRNA